rnacentral:tRNA from 1 species
ACCUGGCUAGCUCAGUUAAUGGAGUAUGUGACUCUUGAUCUCAAGGUUAUGAGUUCAAGCCCCAUGCUGGGUG